ensembl:miRNA
CUAUUUGAUUGGUGCAAAAGUAAUUACAGGUUUUGCCAUAAAAGCAAUGGCAAAACCUGUAAUUACUUUUGCACCAACCUAAUAU